UACGGAGGGUGCAAGCGUUAUCCGGAUUUACUGGGUUUAAAGGGUGCGUAGGCGGGUUGAUAAGUCAGUGGUGAAAGCCUCCCGCUCAACGGGAGAACUGCCAUUGAUACUAUCAGUCUUGAAUACAGUUGAGGUGGGCGGAAUGUGUCGUGUAGCGGUGAAAUGCUUAGAUAUGACACAGAACACCGAUUGCGAAGGCAGCUCGCUAAACUGUGAUUGACGCUGAGGCACGAAAGCGUGGGGGAUCAAACAGG
rnacentral:rRNA from 1 species